rnacentral:rRNA from 1 species
AGAGUUUGAUCCUGGCUCAGGAUGAACGCUAGCGGCAGGCUUAACACAUGCAAGUCGAGGGGUAACAGGGAUUGCUUGCAAUCCGCUGACGACCGGCGCACGGGUGCGUAACGCGUAUGCAACCUACCUUCUACAGGGGGAUAGUCAAUAGAAAUGUUGAAUAAUACCCCAUACGAUCUUUGAAUAGCAUUAUUUAGAGAAGAAAGUUCCGGCGGUAGAAGAUGGGCAUGCGUCCUAUUAGUUAGUUGGAGAGGUAACGGCUCCCCAAGACAUCGAUAGGUAGGGGUCCUGAGAGGGAGACCCCCCACACUGGUACUGAGACACGGACCAGACUCCUACGGGAGGCAGCAGUGAGGAAUAUUGGACAAUGGAGGCAACUCUGAUCCAGCCAUGCCGCGUGCAGGAAGACUGCCUUAUGGGUUGUAAACUGCUUUUAUACAGGAAGAAAUGUACCUACGUGUAGGUAUUUGACGGUACUGUACGAAUAAGGAUCGGCUAACUCCGUGCCAGCAGCCGCGGUAAUACGGAGGAUCCAAGCGUUAUCCGGAAUCAUUGGGUUUAAAGGGUCCGUAGGCGGUCUUUUAAGUCAGAGGUGAAAUCCUACAGCUCAACUGUAGAAUUGCCUUUGAUACUGAAAGACUUGAGUUAUUGUGAAGUAGUUAGAAUGUGUGGUGUAGCGGUGAAAUGCAUAGAGAUCACACAGAAUACCGAUUGCGAAGGCAGAUUACUAACAAUAUACUGACGCUGAGGGACGAAAGCGU